AGAAAGAAGACCUUUUGGAGCUGGACGGAGAGGGCAAUGAUAUGGACGAGGUUAUAAUAUACUCCUUCGUUCUAAUCAUUGCCAUCUUUGUUAUACUCGCAUCUCAUCUUUGAAGAA
rnacentral:precursor_RNA from 12 species